ACGCUCGACACCCUACGGGAGGCAGCAGUUGGGAAUAUUGGACAAUGGAGGAAACUCUGAUCCAGUGACGCCGCGUGAAGGAAGAAGGUCUUCGGAUUGUAAACUUAUUUUGUCAGGGAAGAAAAAUGACUGUACCUGAAGAAAAAGCACCGGCUAACUACGUGCCUGCAGCCGCGGUAAUCUGAGCGGGCUGGCAAGGC
rnacentral:rRNA from 1 species